rnacentral:rRNA from 1 species
ACUGACUGAGCGGCGGACGGGUGAGUAACGCGUGGGUGACCUGCCCCAUACCGGGGGAUAACAGCUGGAAACGGCUGCUAAUACCGCAUAAGCGCACAGAGCUGCAUGGCUCAGUGUGAAAAACUCCGGUGGUAUGGGAUGGGCCCGCGUCUGAUUAGGCAGUUGGCGGGGUAACGGCCCACCAAACCGACGAUCAGUAGCCGGCCUGAGAGGGCGACCGGCCACAUUGGGACUGAGACACGGCCCAAACUCCUACGGGAGGCAGCAGUGGGGAAUAUUGCACAAUGGGGGAAACCCUGAUGCAGCGACGCCGCGUGAGCGAAGAAGUAUUUCGGUAUGUAAAGCUCUAUCAGCAGGGAAGAUAAUGACGGUACCUGACUAAGAAGCCCCGGCUAACUACGUGCCAGCAGCCGCGGUAAUACGUAGGGGGCAAGCGUUAUCCGGAUUUACUGGGUGUAAAGGGAGCGUAGACGGCAAGGCAAGUCUGAUGUGAAAACCCAGGGCUUAACCCUGGGACUGCAUUGGAAACUGUCUGGCUCGAGUGCCGGAGAGGUAAGCGGAAUUCCUAGUGUAGCGGUGAAAUGCGUAGAUAUUAGGAAGAACACCAGUGGCGAAGGCGGCUUACUGGACGGUAACUGACGUUGAGGCUCGAA